AUUGUGAUGUCAUUAUGGGGUAUUGUGAUGUCGUUAUGGGUAUUGUGAUGUCAUUAUGGGGUAUUGUGAUGUCACCAUGGGGUAUUGUGAUGUCAUUAUGGGGUAUUGUGAUGUCGUUAUGGGGUAUUGUGUGUAGAUUGCUGAGGAAUUGUUUUUAUUUAAUCCAUUUUAGAAUAAGGCUGUAACGUAACAAAAUGUGGAAAAAGUCAAGGGGUCUGAAAACUUUCCGAAGGCACUGUAUGCAGACUGCAAACAUUCUUUAAAUUUCAAUCGAGCUAUACAGGGGAUCUUCAGUACUAUGAACAGAACAUAGCCCUAACAUUGCCUAAAUAGCAAGUAUCACACUUGAUUUUUCUGAAGAUAAAAUUUGUAUACAGAUUUUUAUUAAGAUGAAUAACUUUCUACAGCUCUUUUCUUUUUGUUCCCAUUGGUUCUGCUCAGGCUGAUGUGUAUGCAGAUAGACAUUGGUUCUGUUCAGGCUGAUGUGUAUCCAGAUAGACAUUGGUUCUGCUCAGGCUGAUGUGUAUCCAGAUAGACAUUGGUUCUGUUCAGGCUGAUGUGUAUCCAGAUAGACAUUGGUUCUGUUCAGGCUGAUGUGUAUGCAGAUAGACAUUGGUUCUGUUCAGGCUGAUGUGUAUGCAGAUAGACAUUGGUUCUGUUCAGGCUGAUGUGUAUGCAGAUAGACAUUGGUUCUGUUCAGGCUGAUGUGUAUGCAGAUAGACAUUGGUUCUGCUCAGGCUGAUGUGUAUCCAGAUAGACAUUGGUUCUGCUCAGGCUGAUGUGUAUCCAGAUAGACAUUGGUCCUGUUCAGGCUGAUUGCUGAUGUGUAUCCAGAUAGACAUUGGUCCUGUUCAGGCUGAUUGCUGAUGUGUGUCCAGAUAGACAUUGGUCCUGUUCAGGCUGAUUGCUGAUGUGUAUCCAGACAGAUAUUAUGGUUGACAUUAUUUACAUGUCAGUUUAUAUCAAUGAUGAUUCCCAUCAAGAGGUACGAUCACUUGAUUUGAUCAAGUGUCUCUACAAGGGCUGGUUUGUAUGAAGAAAUGUAAUGUAUAUGAAAUAUGUUUUAAGUGAAGAAAGUGAUUUGCAAGGAAUGAAUUAUGAUCUACAUCCUAAAUGGCACCAUAUUCCCUACGUAGUGCACUACUUUUGAAGAGGACCCAUAGGGGUCUGGUCAAAAGUAGUGCACUAUAUAGGGAAUAGGUAUUAGUACACAGCCAUGAUGAAAUCUAAACUGUUGUUUAACUCAUAUGAUGUACGGAGGAAGAAACUGAAAGUUGAGUCUGAGUGACACAACAAUGUCCAUUUUUAUUUUUCUUAUAAACACCUAGAACUGAUGAAACAGACCAGCUCACAAGACGUUGUGUUUUUUCUUCAACAUAAAUAUGCAGACUUCCUUUGAAAAUGGAAUCACAACGCAAACAAAUAAGCGUGUGAAAUGUCACCCUAUUCCCUACGUAGUGCACUACUUUUGACCAGGGCUCUGGUGCACUAGGGAUCAGGAUGGCAUUUCAGACGGGUUCAGAGUCAUUUUCUAAAUCCAUUUUUCAGACUCUAGUGACUUGACUGCAAACUGUCUU
rnacentral:lncRNA from 1 species